GUUGCGCCCGAAGCCAUUAGGCCGAGGGCACGUCUGCCUGGGCGUCACGCAUCGCGUCGCCCCCCUCCA
rnacentral:rRNA from 1 species